rnacentral:rRNA from 1 species
UGGGGAAUAUUGGACAAUGGGCGCAAGCCUGAUCCAGCCAUGCCGCGUGAGUGAUGAAGGCCCUAGGGUUGUAAAGCUCUUUCACCGGUGAAGAUAAUGACGGUAACCGGAGAAGAAGCCCCGGCUAACUUCGUGCCAGCAGCCGCGGUAAUACGAAGGGGGCUAGCGUUGUUCGGAUUUACUGGGCGUAAAGCGCACGUAGGCGGACUUUUAAGUCAGGGGUGAAAUCCCGGGGCUCAACCCCGGAACUGCCUUUGAUACUGGAAGUCUGGAGUAGGGAAGAGGGGAGUGGAAUUCCGGGUGUAGAGGUGAAAUUCGUGGAUAUGCGGAGGAACACCAGUGGCGAAGGCGGCUCACAGGACCAUUACUGACGCUAAGGUGCGAAAGCGUGGGGAGCAAACAGG